GUGGGGAAUCUUAGACAAUGGGCGCAAGCCUGAUCUAGCCAUGCCGCGUGAGCGAUGAAGGCCUUAGGGUUGUAAAGCUCUUUCGUGGGGGAAGAUAAUGACUGUACCCCAAGAAGAAGCCCUGGCUAACUCCGUGCCAGCAGCCGCGGUAAUACGGAGGGGGCUAGCGUUGUUCGGAAUUACUGGGCGUAAAGCGCACGUAGGCGGACUGGAAAGUCAGGGGUGAAAUCCCGGGGCUCAACCCCGGAACUGCCUUUGAAACUCCCAGUCUUGAGUUCGAGAGAGGUGAGUGGAAUUCCGAGUGGAGAGGUGAAAUUCGUAGAUAUUCGGAGGAACACCAGUGGCGAAUGCGGCUCACUGGCUCGAUACUGACGCUGAGGUGCGAAAGCGUGGGGAGCAAACAGGAUUAGAAACCCCAGUAGUCC
rnacentral:rRNA from 1 species